UGCCAGACUCCUACGGGAGGCAGCAGUGGGGAAUAUUGCACAAUGGGGGAAACCCUGAUGCAGCAACGCCGCGUGAGUGAAGAAGUAUUUCGGUAUGUAAAGCUCUCUCAGCAGGGAAGAAAAUGACGGUACCUGAGUAAGAAGCCCCGGCUAACUACGUGCCAGCAGCCGCGGUAAUACGUAGGGGGCAAGCGUUAUCCGGAUUUACUGGGUGUAAAGGGAGCGUAGACGGCGAUACAAGUCUGAAGUGAAAGCCCGGGGCUCAACCCCGGGACUGCUUUGGAAACUGUGCAGCUAGAGUGCAGGAGAGGGAAGUGGAAUUCCUAGGGUAGCGGUGAAAUGCGUAGAUAUUAGGAGGAACACCAGUGGCGAAGGCGGCUUAAUGGACCAUAACUGACGUUGAGGCUCGAAAGCGUGGGGAGCGAACAGGAUUAGAUACCCGGGUAAA
rnacentral:rRNA from 1 species